CUGUACAUUACAUCAACUAAAAUAAUCGGUGAUUACAAAGAUUAACCCGCCCAUUUCACGUAAUCUCGCUGUCCUUACAUCACCACAUCCCCCCCCAUAAUUCGGAAUAUAUGGCUCAGAACAAACACCAGGCCACUAACCUAAAUAAACAAUUCGAGAAUUUUACAAAAGAAAAAAAAAAUUAAAAGGGCGUGUCCCAAAGAUGUUAUUAUCCAGCGACAAUCGUACUGAUGUUGACACGGUCCGGUCCGGCAGGAUUACAGAUCGGUCGGGUUCCCGAAGUCGGAAGCGAGGCGGGAGGCGAUCGCGGAAUGGUACAUGGCGUCGUGGAGGGAGGCCGCGUCGGAGGUCAUGAGCCUGAGGAGCCGCGCCUUCUCCGCCGUGAACCGGAUCGGGUCGGGGCGGGGCCUCCCCGCCGCGGACAGGCUCGAGCCCGAGUCCUCCAAGCCGGCCUUCCUGGGGUAGGCGACCUUGCCGCCGCCGGCGGAGUCAAUGUAGCCCGGGUCGGCGGAGAAGCCGAAGAUCGGGGCCAACCAGCUGUUGUUGUUGGAGGAGGAGGAGGAGGCGGUUCGCCGGCCGGCGGGGCCCGGGUUGCGCUCGCCGGAGGAGGAGGCGGCGGCCUUGACGGCGAGGGUUCCGGAGGGAAAGAGGCUGGUGGCCAUUACGGCGGCGGAGAAAUCGAGAGAGAGUGAAGGUAAAGAUGGAGAUGGAGAUGGAGAGAGGAAGCUGUGCUCUUUCAACGGUAUAAACUUGACUGGGUUUUCUUCUCUUUCUUUCUCGUUCCGGGGAGGCUUUUCUUGCAUUUUAUAGAGGUGGGAGAAGGGGAUAAGACCGGACACGUGGAGGUGACGGGGAGUAGCGCGUUACGAGGCAGGGUAUUAUUCGCUUUUUUAUGCUCUCUCUGCACCGGCUAGUGCCGGUCGCCGCGUUGACCGCUUUUGAAUGACCGUCCCCGCUCCCCCUCCCCCUCCACCUCCACCUCCCUCCCAUUUCCUUGGCAUUUCGAAUUCGAUGCGAAAUUGAAAAAUACUAGACCAAAGGAAAUGCAUGGUACUAGAGAAAAUAGGAAAAUUUUCAAAUAAAAGUCUGACUUGCCAUCAUUUUUUUUAAAAAUAAAGGCUCAAAUGUGACUUUAUUUUAAAUAACGAUAUGAAAUGGUUACAGCUAUUUUAAACAAUGGCCUAACCUUAUUAGUUCGCUAGUCGGCAAGAUAUUCUGAUCGAUUAAGAACAAUUUCAUCCGAAAAUAAAUUUAACCUAAAUUUUAGUUAAAUUAGAUUAAAAAUAAAUAAAGAUUUUUUUUUUCAAAAAAAAAGAAAAAAAAAUAUUAGCCAGCCCUCCCACCCAUGUAUUUCUUUAUUUAAGUUUUAGCCUUUUUUACCUUUUUGAGUUUUUUAUGGAAAGAAAAAAUAGAAAAAAGGAAAAAAAGAAAAUUAAAAAAGAAAAUGCCCCUGGUUGGGAGGUCGAACUCCUCAUUGAGACUAAUAUGACAACUUUAGACUUUUAUUUGAAAUAAUAUUCAUUUUAAGCCUUUAUUUGAGAAAAAGAAACAAUUUUCAUGCUCUUAUUUGAAAUAAUAGCUAAUUUAAACCCCUAUUUGAAAAAAAUAAUGGCAUUUUCAGCUCAUAUUUGAAAUCUUCCCAAGAAAAUAUUAUUAAAUCAGCUAUCUUACAAUAACAAGAUUUUCUUGUGUGAUUCGUUGAAUUUAAAAAAUUAAGAUACAUUAAGCACAAAGACAUAGAUUUUUGCGCCAAAUCUCAAUCGAAUAUAUUAAAAAACCAAUUUGUUUUAAAUUGACGAGAUUCAUUGACAUGCAGUGGUAAUUACAUGACACGUUUCAUUAAUUUUUUUUUUUUUUAACUUUUCUUGCCCCAACGAAUGAUUAAUCUAGUGAUGAUGCGACUAACAAGUUCUCGACCACCCGUCGAGGACGUUUAAGGUGAGUGGCCCGAAGUGAAUUAUUAUUAUUAUUAUUUAAAUGUGCGUGAGACGAAGUAAUUUCUGCUCAAUUUCGUUCGUUUUUCCAGCUUAACUUAGGGUUCCUUCAUCUUGGUUUGAUUUUAUGGAGAACGAGUAUGAUGAUUUCCCACGAUUUUCCUCGACGAUGACCGCGAUACGGUACCCGUAAAUCAACCCUAUUCUUGCCGUGGAGCGGGCAUAAAAUAUUUUAAGUACAUCGAAGUAGAGCUAACCACGUAAUCAACUUAUAAUAAUAAUAAGCAAAGUCAAAAGGAUUAGAAAAUUUCGCUUGAUAUCGCAUGUGGUUAUUAUAAUUCUUUUUCUUUAGGUGUAACAAGACAUGCCCAUUAAGAUAACUCAAUGGCGUCAAAAGUUGUAGGCACUCAAUUUCAUGAAAAAAAAAAUGUAAAAAUGAAGAAUUUUAAGUGGCCCAAAAAUAACUAGCUUUUCGAAAUUACGAUCUUCUUACUGAUGUCGAUAAGGGACACUAAAACUCAUGACUGAUUGAUUGACUGGGCAUUUGUACACUUUGAAAUAUUGGAAGGAAUGGCAAUUCAAUAAUUAUAGGAGUAGCUAAUUAAAUGUUUUCUUUUGGUCCAAUCUAUUCAUUCAAAGUCAUAUUAAGGGCAUGCUUAUUUCAUCGAAAUGGAAAUCAUUGUUAGAUUGGUUUUUAUUUGUUUGGUGGAAAAGUGAUUUUUUUUCUUAUAGAAGGAGAAAUUGCUUUUCCCAAUCAAAACUCGUUAUAUUCGAUCUAUAAAAAGCAAUUUCCAUUAAUCGAUAAUUUUUUUAUCGUCAAAAUAUCGAAAAUCGGACAAUAAUUUUUCGAAGACGAAAAAACGGAAUUUUUCAAAGUGCCCUAGGCGGCCGCAUUGUCCCUUUUGUGGAGGGAUUCGUCGAUGAAUUUGCGACGUAGACGGAGCGCAUACGACACGCACGUGAGGAUUUCCUGCGAAGGAGGGCCGUGGCCACGUAGAGGACUCCUAUUUUGUACUCUAAUCAGCUCUCGACGCGUCGGGAAUACUUUCAGCGAGCUUUCCCUUUUGGAGGAAUAUGCCUUUUGGUACAUCCGCAUUUUCUUGCCUCCUACGGCAAUAUUUCCACGACCAAAAAAAUAAUAAUAACAAUAAAAAUGGGAAUUUGCCAACGUCUUACGAGGUUAUUUCGCGAAGAAUUUCUUAAAAAUUAAAACAUGCUCGAAUGUGUUCGAGUGGGCCCCACGGGAUCCUGAGGGAAGGAAACGAUAUUGGGGACUCAAUUUGAUGUGUGCGUUGCAAGUACAUUGUGUGCUUGUUCAAUUUUUAGCGUAAAAAAAAGCGGCAAAGUUAAAAGGUUAGAAUAAGACGAUCAUUCUGUGUGUAGUUAGCAAGUGUUUCACUUGAGGUGGUAGUCAGCUCUCCCCUCCAUUUCUAGUGAAGGAAUCUUUCUCUAAUCAAUUCUCCGAUCGGCUUUGAUUGACCGGUUAUGAGUAUUUAAGUAAAUAUAAAUAUGGGUGAUGCUCUUAUUUAUUCAAGUUAGGUCAACUUCCCAUGGGCCUGCGUUGCUGACGUUCACUUGCUCAAAACAUUGCAAAUAUGGGCUUUGAUACUGCAUCAACUUCCCACGGGCGUGCAUUGCUUGGCCACAGUGCUCACUUGCCCAUAAAUUGGGGUCAUAGGUUUUGAUACCAUUUGUCAAGCUCGUGUUACUAUGCCACAACACUAACCUGCCCAAAAAUUGCAAUCAUAGGCUCUGAUAUUUUUUGGCGACAGAAGUCUAAUACAUUCUUUUGAGAAGAUCGCCAAGAGGGAGCAAGGUUUUUAGCCCAUAAAUUUAUCUCAUUGGACCCAUAUUCACUCAAAAACUUAGGCAAAUGAGUUAUGAAUAAAUUAAGAUAUAUUAAUCAUUCUACAUCAUAAUAAUUUUUCGAUAUGAGAUUUCUCUAAUAUAACUCAUUUACAUAUGUAUGUUAAUAAUCUCGAUUGGAAAGCACGCGACAGAGGGCAAGCGGCCGACAUUGGUUAACUUGAGUUCUUAUAUAAUUUUUGUCUCGACAAGUGCCCGGCAUUGGUUAACUUGGCUCCCAUAAUUCAGUACACAUCAACAUCAUGACAUGAUCACAGAUGGUUUUAUAAAUUAAUUCAAAAUUGAGAUCUAAUCACGAGACCAAACAAAAAAUGACUUCAAUAGGGUGACACACUCCACUAAACAUCAAAAUAAUUGAUCAAACUCAAGUUCGAUAAUUAUCAUAUUCAGCUUAUAGACAACCUACCUUUCUUAUCAUCUCUUUAAGUAACACAUAAACCUAAGAUUGAUACAACCCUUCAUCAUCUAUGGGCGCGUCACGUCAUUGUCACCGACGGAUUAAAAAUAGAACAAUGCAUGCCUAAAUCAAUAGUGAAUAAUUACAUAAUGCCAAUAAACAUAAACCCGAGAUCGAUACAACCCUUCAUCAUUUAUGGCCACAUCACGUCGUUGUCACUGGUAGACUAAAAAAAAUAGAAUGACGCAUGAGCAAAUUUACGAAUAAUCAUAUUAUGCCAAUAAAGAGAACGCCAAGAGUGGUCUGAUAUUUAAACUAUAGUAUACAUUAAAUCUGUACAUUACAUCAACUAAAAUAAUCGGUGAUUACAAAGAUUAAUCCACCCAUUUCACGUAAUCUUCGCUGUCCUUACAUCACCACAUCCCCCCAUAAUUCGGAAUAUAUGGCUCAGAACAAACACCAGGCCACUAACCCUAAAUAACAAUUCGAGAAUAUUACAAAAGACAAAAAAAAAUUAAAAGGGCGUGUCCCAAAGAUGUUAUUAUCCAGCGAUAAUCGUACGGAUGUUGACACGGUCCGGUCCGGCGGGAUUACAGAUCGGUCGGGUUCCCGAAGUCGGAAGCGAGGCGGGAGGCGAUUGCGGAGUGGUACAUGGCGUCGUGGCGGGAGGCUCCGUCGGAGGUCAUGAGCCUGAGGAGCCGCGCCUUCUCCGCCGUGAACCGUAUCGGGUCGGGGCGGGG
rnacentral:lncRNA from 1 species